rnacentral:lncRNA from 1 species
ACCCCAGGAAGCCAGCAAAGUGGCUAGAACCCGUCAUACCACCGCAGAAUCACGAUUGCUCUUCUGAGUCACUACAUUUCAGGUGACUUGUUGAGCAGCAAACGAGCUGACAAACCUAAAGUCAGAAGAUGCUAGCGGAAGAAACAGGACCCAGAACUCCAUUGGAAAAUGGGGAACUGGUCCUCUGAAGACAGUGUCUGCAAUGAAGCUGAGUCCUCUCUCUCUCCCAGGCCCUAGUGUCUACCUCUAAUUUAUUCCUGAUGAAAGACAGCAAGUUCACAGCCUCAGGUACUUUUUCAUUCUUUCAUUUCUCAAA